AGCAGCCGCGGUAAUUCCAGCUCCAAUAGCGUAUAUUAAAGUUGCUGCAGUUAAAAAGCUCGUAGUUGAAUUUCGGGAUCAAUAUGUUGGUCGUGCCUCGGUACGUACUAGCUUAUUGGUUUCUUCCUUCUGACGAACCAUAAUGUCAUUUAUUUGGUGUUAUGGGGAAUCAGGACUGUUACUUUGAAAAAUUAGAGUGUUUAAAGCAGGCUCACGCUUGAAUACAUUAGCAUGGAAUAAUGAAAUAGGACGUUUGAUUCUAUUUUGUUGGUUUCUAGGAUCGACAUAAUGAUUAAUAGGGAUAGUUGGGGGCAUUAGUAUUCAAUUGUCAGAGGUGAAAUUCUUGGAUUUAUUGAAGACUAACUACUGCGAAAGCAUUUGCCAAGGAUGUUUUCAUUAAUCAAGAACGAAAGUUAGGGGAUCGAAGACGAUCAGAUACCGUCGUAGUCUUAACCAUAAACUAAUGCCGACUAGGGAUCGGAUGAUGUUAAUUUUAAU
rnacentral:rRNA from 1 species